GGGUCGGCCAAGGCGAAAUUACCACAACCAAAUUGAAGACGGCAUAAAAGAAAGGAACAAUGUGAGCGGGACAAUAAGCGAUCUUUCCCUGCUUUUAGCACAAGUUCGAGUGAAAUGAACGACUGAACGUUGCCAGCUCGUUUUAAGUCUCUAUUACGUACAUUAUGGAAAAAAAAGAUGGAAAACAUCGCAAACAUCUGCAAAAAAAUUUAAUGAUGUGUCUGAAAUUUCAAAUUUCCAAUGCCCAGUGGACCUGCGUG